CGGCAGAAGAAAAAUGGAGAAGAAGGAGCACCUAGAUGGCAAGAGAAGGAGCGAAAGUUCCAGAACUAACCUGUCGCUCCGAGGGAUGCAGAGGUGCAGGGACAGGGAUGACUCGAAGAACACCUAGGGCCAAAACGGAUGCCAAGGAAGGUCAGAGCUCUCGGAGAGAAGGCGGGCACCAACAGGACUUUCAGGCAGAACGAAACUCCUUGAGGCAGA
rnacentral:lncRNA from 1 species